GAGCAAUGAUGAAAAGGUUUUACUACUGACCUCUACAAUUAUGACUAUUUUUACACUUGAUCUGACCUCA